rnacentral:tRNA from 2 species
GGGCCGGUUGCACAGACUGGAAGUUGCGCCGGCUUUGCAAGCCGGAGGUCGUGGGUUCAAAUCCCACCCGGUCCA